rnacentral:rRNA from 1 species
AGCGGUAGAGAGAAGCUUGCUUCUCUUGAGAGCGGCGGACGGGUGAGUAAUGCCUAGGAAUCUGCCUGGUAGUGGGGGAUAACGUUCGGAAACGGACGCUAAUACCGCAUACGUCCUACGGGAGAAAGCAGGGGACCUUCGGGCCUUGCGCUAUCAGAUGAGCCUAGGUCGGAUUAGCUAGUUGGUGGGGUAAUGGCUCACCAAGGCGACGAUCCGUAACUGGUCUGAGAGGAUGAUCAGUCACACUGGAACUGAGACACGGUCCAGACUCCUACGGGAGGCAGCAGUGGGGAAUAUUGGACAAUGGGCGAAAGCCUGAUCCAGCCAUGCCGCGUGUGU